GGGAUGUGCAAAGGACCGCCAAUACUUGAUUGCAGCCCAGAAGCACUGGACUCUUGUCUGGUGCCCUGCUGUAGGGAAAGUCCCCGGACAUGGUAUGGUAUUGGAUCCCGAAAGGGACUUGGUGCGACAGAAUGUGUGUCUUGGUGUUGAUGUGACGGUUUCGAGCGUCUUGUAUGAUAAUGGAUGUGAGAAAGAUACCUGAUGCGCAAAUGCUUGUGUGAUUUGUUGCUGGAGAUGGGGAAAGCUUGCGUGUGGUAAGGGCACGUAGUCCAGUGACGCUAUCGCCGAGUGAAUUGUGCAAAUCUGGUCAUUUUUCUUGCUGUAUCCUCUGUACGAAACGACGUUUAUCGAGGCUGUGGUAUGUUCACAAUCUGUCUUGCGUCAACGCUCGUGUUUUUUUUGUUUGUAAGCUGCGAAGAUAUGAGCGUUUAUAAAAACUGAAACGCGAUGUGAGACGCUACAGAUAGUUGUUGAGCAUGCGUCACAUCAAGGGUGCAUACAUUCUCGUCGACAUCUUGUGCGUUAAGCGUCCGUGCCAAUGGUUCGUCAUUGUGAUAGUUAUGCGGUCACCGAUGCGAAGCGGCAACACAAUGGGGCUUACUCUUGUGCGUCC
rnacentral:RNase_MRP_RNA from 2 species